rnacentral:lncRNA from 1 species
ACAUUUUCUUUCCAUAAUUUCACCAUGUAGUAUACACAAAAAUCACAUUAAUUUUGCUAUCAUUUCAAAAAUCAAUAAUAACUUGUUGAAACUAAAUUAUGUCCCUUAUGACACCAAAUCCAAAAAUAUCUACAUUUGAACUAUAAACACUUUCAAUGGAAACUUUUUUAUAAGCAAAAUAAACAUUUACUAUUUCCAAUUGUUGAAGAUCAUUGUGCUUGAAUGACUAAUCUUGUAACCGAUUCCUUUCUCCCUACAUCCAAAGUAUGGUUUGUUUGAACUCAAUCCGCUUCCUCUCUUCUUCAUGCUUGCCAUCUUCCAUCUUUCAAAGUAAUAUAUUUUGUUACUUUGUAAGUUGAUCAAUCUUCACACAAGCACCAGGAAAUUCCUCUUACAAAAUGCUAAAAUCAGCCUAUCCAUCUUAUGGACUAGAGAUGCCAACUUUGUGCAAAAUAGGACGAUGAAUACCAAGCCCAUACAAGCAACCACUCUUACAAGGACCUUGACUUGCUUCACAUAAAGUUUCAAUGUCAAUUUCAAGUAGAGAUGAAGCAUUUGAACUAUAUUUUUCAUGAAUUGCAUUGUCAUAUGUUUUCUACAAAACAACCAUAAGUCUCAAUCAAUAACUAUAUAAAAUAUAUAACUAAAAUUUAAUUUAUUUCUACUUACAUAGACAAUUCGUGAUUUAUUAUCUACAGAGUCUCCUUCUCCCUUGUUUCGCCGAUGUAUACAUUCGAAACAAUGUGAAGCAGUAGGUGGCUUACCUAAUUUCUCAGCUGAAGACAAGCAAUUAAAUCAAUAUUUGGUUUGAAAAGAUUAUUGAUUGGCAUACUCUUCAUGAAAUGAAACAUCAUCUCAUUCAUACUAGUCAAUCUCUGAUUUGAAAGAUCAUUCGCUUUCAUUUUUAAUAUCAGGCUUGCAGAGGGUUUAUAAUGUAAACUGUUCUUGAUUGAAAUUCCAUGUUCUUGAUUGUAACAUAGCAAAAAAUGUGUCCAUCAGAAAUCAGACCAAUGAAUUAGGAAAAUAAAUCAAUGCAAACAACACAAUCAGUGAAAAUUCCAAGUUAAAUGCUGAAGAAAAUUAGCAUAACUUCUUAUGUUGGGAGCCACCGAACAAUAUAACAUAAAGUGAAAGAUAUAUAAUACUCUUAUUCUAGAUGCUAUGCACAGGUUCUUGCAACAAAAUAGAAUGUACUACAUGUUAGAAUGUGUAUGCACAAUUAUCCAUAAGUUAAAAAAUUUCUUUAAUUUGAUAAUGAAGAUUUUCUAGAUGUUCACAUAUAUGUUAUACCAAGAAUAAAGGAUUCGAAUUUCUACAUGGUCAAUUUUUGAAUUAUUUUUUAAUCACAAACUUUCAGCUUUUUCUUUUUUUUUUUUUUAUCAUGAACUUCCAGAACUUGAUAUUUCAAGCCUCCAAGUCCUUUAUGGUAUUCUUCAAAGUUAAAAGUAUAAUGGUGGGUGAACACCCUUUUUAAUUAAAUCAAGAAACUAAUUUUUGAACUAGACAAAUGAAUAAAGUAAGAAAAUAAAUAUUUUCUCCUUUUUUCUCUUUUUAAUUUUGAAUGCUAUGGAAUUAUGUGUUGUGAUUGCUGUAGGAAUUCUAAGUUAUAUCUAGUCUCUAUCUAUAGAAUAAUUCCAAUCCUUAUAUAAAUAAGCCCACGUUCAAAUGGGAGUUUUAAUUAUUAAAAUCCAAGUGGGAGUUUUGAUUAAAGUUCAAAUCCAAUUAGCUUACACUUAAUUACAUGUGUAGUCCUAGAACUUUGAGUACAAUUAUAAUUAAGGGGGUGUAUUCAAUUAGGAUUUUUGAAGACCUUGAUGGAUUUUUUUUUAAUUUUUUUUUUUAAAGUGAUGACUUUUAAGAAUUUCGUGGAUUUUUUUUUUUUUUUUUUAGAUUUGUAUAGAAUUAGUAAAAGCCAUUCGUAAACUUCUAUGAAUUUUCAUUUUAAAACUUUUAUAGACUUUUGUAGAAUUAAAAAAAUUUUCAUUUGAAAUACAAUUCACGUAGAUUUAGUACAAUAAUACGAAAUUCUCACAUAUGAGGUAUUGGUUUCCACAAUUCCCCUUACCCGCCCUACAUAAUAAGAAAAUAUUUUAAAAAGAAUAAAAAUUUAAUAUCUUAAUUAAAUAUAUAAAUAAUAAUCAAUAAAGAAUAAUUUUAAUAUUCAGUAUUAUUAAUAUUAUAUACCUUUAAAGAAUAUAUAAAAACUGAAUAGAAAAUAGUCUAUAUAAAAUUGUAUAAUUUAAUUAAAAAUAGACAUUUUUCACCAAAUAUGAAUGACAAAAGCAAAAAGUUACAAGAAUCUAAUGCUUGUAGAAGGGAAAAUGAAAGAGAAAUAUUCAAAAAUAUAUAUAUUAUUAUUAUUCUUUUUUUUUGUGAAAGCCUCCCAAAAUCUUGUGACUAAUGAGAAACAAAUUUAGGGACUUUUUAAAAGACUAUAAAGGCCUUAAUUGAAUACAACAAUACUUUUAGAGAGUCUCAAACUAUCUGCAUUGAAUAUCCCUAAACUUUUUAUAUCCCAAAAAUUUAUUAAAAGUCUCAAUUGAAUACAUCAUGUAAGUUUACAACUUUUAAAGAAAUUAUAACUAAGUACAAAACUUUAUGGUAAUUAUAAUUAAGUUCCAAUACUUUAUAGAGUUACCGCAAAGACCUAAUUGGAUAUAUGUUAUCCAAACUCCAAUAAUUUGAUCUAUCUAAUCGACCCUAGACCACUAAAUUGAAUUAUUUGUCUUUGCUUCUUCUACUAAAAUCAAAAAUAUUAAAUUCUUAAAAUAUAUAAGAUCACAGAAGCCAAUAAAUCUGUCAUACUUUCCUAUGACCCGUCUUACGUAUAUUUUAUCCCCACCUGAGAUCUGAUAUUUAGGCACAAGCAUAAAUGAUCAUUUUGCCUAUCUAAUUAUUCUCACUAAAUUAUGUACCAUUUUUUUUCAACGAUCCUGCGACCUAAUCACAGAUGUCGAAGUUUAGCCAUCGCUAAACAUUAGUUCAGAUUUUAACCGUUCAACAAAAAAUACUUAAGCAGUUAUUCUACUCAUUUUUCAGGGUGACAAUUCCCGACACGAAUUUAUUCUCAAGCUCUCAACUCAUUAAGAUAUAUGACCAAUCAAAUUGAUCUGGCCCAUUGAUGGACCAAAGAAAAAUUAAAAUCACGAAAAGAUAUAUUCCUAUCAAGGGAUUUAGAUGAAAUAUACCGCUGUCAAAUAAAAUUUAAUUAUUCAUAUGAUCAUGCUAUAGAAUUAAACUCGACAUGUGGUCCAUUAAAUGCACUCAAAGUGUAUUAGUAUCACCUUGAAUUAUUUCUAUGAUAAGGGCAAAUCACACAAUUGAAACGUGAAUUAGCAGUACAUGGUGUCGACUCUUAUAUAUUGAUUGUAAACAAACUAUUUAUGAUUAACAUAUAAGUUGUGUCACAAUGUAAUCUCAACGCAAUUACCAAACUUAUAUUAUCACAAGUAAUCAUCAUGACUUUAAUUUGCAUGCUCAAUAAUAAAUAAAUAAAAUCACAAUUUAUUUACUAUAAAUUAUUAUUUAUUAUAGCAAAAUAUACUAUAUGGGCAUACUGCCCAAUGCUCCAAGCAACAAAUCUAUCUCAAGUUAUACCUCACACAAAGGAAAUAAAAUUCCCUUAUUGAAGGAAACUAGUUUGUACGAAGCUUAUAACUUUCCCAAAUAAUAACAAACUGGACAGUUAACAGUAGAUAGACAAACUAGCAAUUGGGUCUGGUUUUGGUUUCAACGAGAUAGACCAGCUGGUUAUACUCAUAUUAAGCCACUUUGCAGUUUCGUUUUGAAGUGAUCAUAUGCACUAAUCUGACAACAAAAGCUCGUCAAACAAUUAGAAUAAGAUAACUCACAACAUAUCAAUCAUCUCUGCAAAUGAUUCGUAAAAAUUAAACAUUACCUAACAUGACCCGUCCCGAAUCACCUUUAUGGACUCGACACGUGUCGUGCGCCGAUAAUAGAUACUAGCUAAGUACUGGACCACUACCAAGGCAAUCUUGACCUGGUCUGGCUAUGGAGAAUUUAAAAUAAAUAAAUAAAAUAAAAUAAAAAUGAUUGAAGUUUUCCUCCAAAAUAUGGACUAAAUCCGCCUCAACAAAACUCAAUUUUCGAAAAUCAAUAUAUAUAAUAUAAAAUAGGGUAAACCAACCCCUUAGAAUAACACUAUUCAAAUUAAAGUGCAUAGGAAUAAAAUUUACACUUCUUAACAAACCAGACAACUCCAAAUUCACAACAUAAACAAGAAUAUGCAUUGAGCCCAUGAUAUGGAUACAUUUCGUGACAAAAGUUGUGUCUAUACCAAAUAUAGGAACAGUAUAACCUAACAUGAUGAAUCAUACAAAUAACGACUGUGUGGCUCAACUCGGUAAAUUAGGCUCCAAUGCUACUCAACUCAGUUAUUAUCUGAUAAGAAAAGGGUGAUAAAAUAUAUGAGUUUGUAACUCAAUGAGUAGAUAUUUCAUGAAUAAGUAUAUAUUUUCCAUUUAUGACAUCUUUUUUGAAAAUUAUUAUAUAAUAAAUAUAUCCUUUUAUAAUACUUUAAGCUAAAAUCUGUAUUCUUUAAAUUGAAUAAACUAAAUUCUGUAGUCUGAAAUCUAAUAAGUUGUAUAUAUUAUUUAAAAUCACACCAAAAAGAUACUCGAAAUAACCAUACUCAUGUGCCAAUUAAUCUCGAUGUACACGGCAAUGUUAUUCAAUUCUGAAAUUUUGUGAUUCUGAAAUUUUGAAAUUUAGUAAUUCAGAAAUUCUAGUUAUAUGCGUGCAAAUGUGUUCAAAGGCUAUAACAUAGUCAUACUUUAUGGAAAUACAUUCACAAUAGUACAAAGCGAGUAAACUCACCAUAACUGAUAUAUACUGUGGAAAUAAAUUCACACCAAUGCAGAGUUGAUAAAAUAACUAUAUGUAGUCAUACAUUAUGGAAACACAUUCACACAAGUUCAGACUAGGGUAAAAUUACUUGAGUACUUCUAAGUGAUUUUAAAAAUAACUUUAGAUUAGUGGAAAUAUUUAAUACAACUAUAACAUAAUAAUGAAAUGAUUUAGCUAAAUUGAAUUUAACUUUAAAAAUCAUUGAUUAUAAAAUCCAUUUUAUUCUGAAAUCAUGCUAUCAACUCAACUUAUAAAAUAACUUUAAAUUUUAUGAAUACUUAUUUCUGAAAAAUAAAUUUUUUCCACUCGCAUAAUACAAGCUAUAGCCUAGGAUGGUCGGUGGGCUUUUCCAAUGUUCUCGUCACUACCUGAAAUAUAAUAUAAGAUAACCAUAUUAACUAUUAACAAAUUUAGAAACCUUUUAUCUCUAAUGAUAUAAUACUUAAACUAAGUUUUUCAAUACUUGAAUAAAUUUCCUAGAUAUUUCUUUAAUCAAUUGAAGCUAAUUCUACUUUCUAAUACCAUCACAAAUAUAUACUUUAUCCAAAUUUACCUUCAUCCCACUCGUAAAAAUAAUUAUCGCUUUAAAUUUAGUGAAAACUAGCAAUCAUACUACAACCAAUUUUAUAGACAUCUUGUUCCAUAGCACCAUUCUUUCAAGUGAAUAAUUUCAUCAAUGUAAUCACUUUCACAAUUAAUCCUUACUCAAGCAUCCAAUUUAAAAUCUAGGGUUUGCCAAAAAUGGUACUUCUUACCUUAAUGAAAUUGGAAACUAAAGAAUCAAGAAACUUGAGCUCCAAUUUGUACUCAUAUCUCAUAAAUCAGAAAAUUUAUACCACUAAUUAAAACCCUAGAAAUUUAACAUAAAAUUAUUCCUUUAUCUCUUGAAGAAAAUAAAGAAAAGGCAAAAUGAAAACAAGCUUGAACUACCUAUUUUCCCUUCUUCUCCUCCUCUUUUUCCUUUUCCUCUUCUUUUUCUUGUUUUCUUUCUCCUUUUCUUCCUCCCCGUUUUCUCUUCUGCUCUCGGCUGUGUGUGGG